rnacentral:lncRNA from 1 species
UCACAGAGACAAAACUAUCAUAUCAUGCACACUUCUAACAUGCCAUUGCCACCUUAAUAUGUUAAAAUACUGCACUGCAUCGAGCAAUGUUGAGACUACAAUAUCUCUUUUAAAUAUUUGAACAGAUUAUAAUGUUUAUGUACAUUUGGAAACAUAACCAAUGGGCCAUAGGGGGAGGGAGACAAAAGAAAAGAGGCUGCAAUAUUUGUAUAUACAAUACAGGCCAUUUAUUUGGUGUUAUCAAUAAUUACCAAACUAUAUUUUUAUUUGGUGUCAUCAAUAUUUGCAGAAAAUGUCAUACAAAAAAUCCGGAAAUGGCACAAAUAUUUAAAUGCAAAAAAAAAGGACCAAAACUGAAUUCAAGGUUUGAAAACUAUACCUCAGUUUGAAUGCAAAGCAAGAGUGAUAUCAACUCUCAACUCAAAGGCUGCAAAUACUUGUCAGUUUGGGGGGCCAAGUCUAAAGGUUGGGCUAAAGACCUCAACUCUCAACUCAAGUGAAGGGUUUGAAGGCGCAGGAGGAGCAAAGCAAUAAACUCGAGCGGCGUGGCUCGUGAAACAACUAUCUCUGCAGCCACUUUACUUUUUGGUUUGUUCUUUUAGGCUAAAAAUUACACAACAAUCUCUGCAAAAGUACCAACAACUGUAAACUAUAAAUCUUAUGGAGAUUAUUAGAGAGGGAGGCAAGGAAAUUAAGAAUGUAUUAUUUUUUAGAUUGUAAAUUUUGUAGUUUAGGAAGCCCAAGUCAGUUUGAAAACUUAACUGUAAAUUAUAGAUUAAUGGAAAAAAAAAAAGGGGGGGGGGGGGGGGGGGGGGUAGUGGGGGAAAUGAAGUCACCUCAAAAAGUGCAGUUGAAGGUGCCUAUGAAGACGCAUCAAAUAUGAACUGCUGUAGUUUUACUCCCAUUGUAUGUCCAUGGAUAGAAGGAAUUUUCUUCUCAGCAAGGUAGUAACUGCAUUCACAAUAACAUGUUUGCAACAAUAUCAUUAGAAUAGCUAUGGAUGAGAAACUCAGCAAUAUGGUCACUUAUCUUAUCCAUUUCUAACAAGCUGGACAUGAUUAUCACUAUUGGUAUACAAUCAUUAAAUAUUAAUUGUUUGUUUUUUCUUUAACAUUUGAAACUAGCACUCAGAUCUCUCUUUUAUAGAAACAAUUCCAAACAACCCAUUUUUUUUCUAGAAAAAAUUGCCCUCACCCCAUUGUUCUUGGAAAAAAAAAUACAAAAUAACCCCUUCUGUAUCCCUUGCAUAUCCAUCAUGUAUUCAUGUAGUCAACAAGAUACAAAUUCAAAGUAUCUGAUGCAUUUUGAUACAUAUCGUGGAUUAAGAAAGAACCCAAAAUUAAAAAGAAACACAGAGAGAUCUCAAAUGAGAUUAAAAUACACAUAUGAAAUAGCUACAGCAUUAGCAAGACUCAACUGAGAUUAUCUGAACCCCACCUUCAAAUUCGUGAGCCACAGAGUUCUUAUGAAAGAAAGGGGCCUGAGACUGAGAAAGGGGACUGGCCAGAGUUCUUAUGAAAGAAAAGCACUCCGGAGUUCUUACCUAUCAAAGCUUCAGAGUUUUCGCAAUAGCCAUAGAGGGCAAGAGAGAUGGAAAAGCUAAGCACUUGCAGUGGAAACAAAGAGAGAUUGUUAACACCCAAAUCACAACAGUGUCAAAAUAAAUUGAAACCAUAAAUAUUUUUUUUUCUCUACCUUUGUUGAUCUAGGUAGAGCGACCGCAAGCCAACACCCAAAUGGUUAGAUUACAACCCAAAUUGGUAACCCUAAAAUUAUUUUCCUGACCUUUGUUGACUGAACUAGAAGAGAAGAGAAGAGAGAGAGAGAGAGAGAGAGAGAGAGAGAGCAUGGAGAGAGAGAGACGCGAGAGACAAAGUCUCUCUGUCUAUAUGGCCGUGGCGAAGGCAAGGCGACGAGGUGGGAAGAACAAGACCAUGGAGAGAGGGGGACGCAAGAGAUGAGAUAGAAGAGAGAUAAGAAAGAAUAAGAACUAUCGGGGCUUAAGAAAAAAUAGUCACUGUUCACUCCGUGUUUUUUUUUGGGAAAUAGCCCAAAAUGCCACCAUUUUUAUAAUUGUAAUUGAAAAUACCACCCUUUUUUAAAAAUUUUGGAACUAUGACCUAUAAAUAGAAUUUUAUUGUCCCCUUAUUGCACAGAUAUCACUUUUGCUGAAAUUUUAUUGUCUCUGUUUUGCUGAAGUUCUCUCUCGCCUCUGUCUCUUCGCUGCCCUCUGUUUCUCUUCACUCUCCGGUGGCUUUGCUCCGAAUCUGUGGUCCUUCAGCUCUCAGUCUCUCCUCACUCAGCUCCGACUGUCUCUUCUCUCUUCCUCUCCCAGCGACAGGUACUGUUCAUCGGCAUUUUCUUACAGUUUAAGGGUUUCUCUCAAGUUGUUUUAGGGUUUAUGCAUUUCUCUGAAAUUGGCUGAGGGGUUUGUUCGAAAUUGGUUGAAGGUUUAGGGGUUUCGCUGAAAUUAGUUUAGGGGUUUGUUCGAAAUUGGUUGAAGGUUUAGGGGUUUCUCUGAAAUUGGUUUAGGGGUUUCAUCGAAAUUGUUUUAGGGGUUUGUCUGAAAUGAUCUGAGUAUGAUGAUUCCUUGUUUCAAACAGUGAAUGGGUUUGUUCUUUGUGGACUGAUGCUUGCACUGCUGUUGUGUUGCUGUUGCUGUUGCUAUUGCUGUCGUAUUGUGUUUUUUUGCUAGUGUAUUGCUAAUGUAGUGAUGUUGUGUUGGCAUUUUAGUGCAGUUGUAUUUUUAGUUUUAGUAUGGUUUUAUUAUGGUUUUUGUAGCAGUUAUUGAAUGGUAUUUGGUGGCUUAGUAUGAGUCUUUAUGAGCAUUGCAUUUAACCUUCUUAGAAGUCUAAUUGGUAUCUAUUUUGUUUGUUGAAGAUGAUAUCUAAAGUGUAAGACAAUUAACCUGUGUAUGGUGAUUUCUUCUCUGUGGAUCAUUACCAAAAAAUACUCGCUGAUUAUAUUUUACGUAGAAAAUGUGGCCAUGAAAAGAAUUUGUGGCUAAAACUCCAUGAUGGAAGCAACCAUUUUGAAAUAUCUUAAGCAAACUGUUGGUGGCUUGCUAAAUUCCUUAAUUUUUUUCUCUUUAUCUUCCAACGAGGUAGUGACCCUUCACAUUACACUCAAUUGUGCAAAGGAUUUGCAUGGUUGUCUGAUGGAAUCGAAGAAUAAUUUACAUAGAAAUAAUUUCCUUUGUUAUCGUUCGUAGUUUUUCAUAUAUGAAAGAAACUUCUAGAUUGAUAAAAUAUCUCAAGACAGAGUUUGACAAAAUCAAGUAUUGUAUAAAUAUUUGAACUUGUAAACUCCCAACCAUAUCAUACUUUUUGUUUGAGAAUAAUGCUUGUUAAUUCGACAUAUUUUUGUAUAACUUUGUUUACUAAGUUUAGGGCUUGCAUAUUGGAUAUGGAUGAGUUUUGUUUAGAACCAUAUGUGGUGUAAUAUGAGUUGUUUAAAAGUUUGCUGUUUUGUGCUUGAUCAUUGUGUGCUUAAAAGAAAGCGGGAAAUGAGUGAAGAUGGGAACCUACCAGCAGCAGCUGUGGUUUAGAGAAAUGGGGACAUUGAUUUUGCUAUAAGCUAACUGUUUAAGCUUUUGCUUUUGUUGUUUGUGUAUGGAUACUUAGAGAAGUCUGUUUCUGAGGAGAACUUAUAAUUUUGUAAUUGUACAUGUCUUACAAACAUUUUAUACCGUUUUGAUGGUUUAUUUAUGAAUUUAUCUUUCAUUUUUUGUUAAGAAAAAACUGAAGGGAUGGUGCCAAUUUCUUUCAUUUUCUUACAUUUGAAAGGAUAGAGUCAGUACUGUGGUUGCCACUAAUUCAUAGGAAGUAGAAAUCUAAAUUCUGUGAAUAAACUGGCUGUCACUUCAAUUCACAUGCUCGUUGACAUACUUUAGAUUAAGAAUUAGUUGUGGUUUCACCUUACAUGCAUUUUAUUGGAGUUUUAUGGCUACACGUGUUUUUAUGGUAAAACAGUGGCUGUAUGAAGCUGCUGCUAUAGCUUUUGAGGCUAUACCACGUACUUUGGCUCAGAAUUGCGGGGUGAAUAUGAUUAGAACAAUGACGGCGCUGCAGGGAAAGGUUUGAAUCUGUUUUGUAUGGCUUUGUUCAGUUUUUUUAUGAUUUGUCAUUUCUAUAUACGUUCUGAUGCAUCAUUAUUAUUUUGGUCAGAAUAUGAUGCAUCAUUUAGAUCCUAACCACAAUUUUUUUUCCAUAGCAUGCAAAUGGUGAAAAAUCAUGGAUUGGCAUUGAUGGUAACACUGGUGUGAUAACUGAUGUGAAAGAGAAAAAGAUAGGUGGAUAUCUUUUUGGCUUACUAUUGUUGCUCUCUUUUAUUUCCUUCGCUAUCUCAAUAUUCACAUUUGUUGGGUGAUUUAUAUUUGCUGAAAGCUCUGAAAUAGGACUUUUAAUGUAGUAUUGUUCUCAAAUGUAUCCAUUAUAUGUCCCUUUAUUGAUAUGGCAUAAGUGUCAAUCUUCUGGUUUAUAUUGUCGAUUUGCUUCAGUAGUAGUUCUAGUUUAGAGCUUCUCCCAAUAUAUUUCGACAGCACUCAUGUGAGGGGAAGUGCUGUUGUCGUGGUUAUUAAAAAAUUUCCCAAUAAAUUUAUUUUGUUGGUAAGGCUGUUCAUUUUGAGGAUUUAUGAUGUCAGAUAUGGGAUGCCUACAACGUGAAGGGCCAGAGUUUUAAAACGGCCAUAGAAGCUGCUUGCCUACUUCUCAGAAUCGAUGACAUUGUGAGUGGGAUGAAGAAGAAGCAGCCUCCUGGUGCCAAAGCUCAUUCCAAGCCUCAAGUUGAGACAGAAGGCGAUGCAGAUAAUGAGCAAAUAAUUCCGGAGUGCUUAUGGAGAGCACGUGGUUAUCUCAGUUUGAAUGAAGUUUUGCUUUAAAGAAGAAAAAAAGGAGCAUUAUAAGUUUGAUGAGGAUAUUUUUUAGGUUUGUAAUGUCACCUUAACUUGGUAGUGUGUGUUUUGUCCCUCUUCUUUCUUUCUCAAUCGACGAGGUGGAAAGAAGAGAAGUCUUCUUAUUGGAGAAUGCUAAUGUUAGUUUCACAUGUCAUCUGUGUAUCGAACACAAUUUCUUUGUUCAACUUCGUGGAUUGGCACAGUGGAGCUUAUUUCUACCAUUCUUCUGAAUGAUUGUUAACAGUCCAAACUUAGUUAUUGACACAAAUAUGUACUUUUCUAAAAGUAAGAAAACAAAAAGUUUUUCAUGGCCAAGCAUCAAUUUUAAUAAGCCAGUGUGGCACCUAAAACACACAACGUACGGCACUGUACACAAACUUGUGGAGGAAAGGAUUCAUAUUGAGCAUCUAUUUUAUCCACUUAGGGAGAGUAAGAAUUGAUCUUGUCACUCCCAUAUUCAGCCAAUAUGCCACGUAUUGAUUCAAAGCAGAGCUUAAAAAUGAAACGAAAGCAGAUAAAAAACCCUAGACACGGCCAGCUGAUGCAACUGAAAUUGGCAAAUAGCAAAGAUGACAUGAAGUCUGGGACUUCACAAGCGAGGCUGAACGAGGAUGAAGCUGUGAGGGUUGCAUACAAGCAUGGGACGCCUCUUGAAGGAGGCAAAAUUGGUGAUUCUGAGCCUGUGGAUUUAUUUUCCAGUCCUCAUCAUAUUCCAAAGUAGGGCAAUAUGCCUACAAUACAAAGGCAAUACGAAGGCAAUACGAAGGCAAUAUGACCACAAUAAAUAUACAAUACGAAGGCAAUAGUAGGGCAAUAUGGCCACAAUAAAUAUACAAUACGAAGGCAAUAGUAGAGCAAUAUAAGUACAAUAUAAAGGCAAUAUUAGGGCAAUAUACAUAUAAUACAUACACAUUACAGUAUUAAGGGAAUACAAACACAAUACAAAUGCAAUAUUAAGUCAAUGUACAUACAAUACAUACACAUUACAGACAACAUUUCACACAUGCGAAAGAAAUCGCCUCCCAAACUGAACAAUACUAUCUAUCCCACGAAGGGAAAAUGAAGGCAACAAAAGAUCCAUGUACUCGGGUGAGAUGAACUGAAGCAGCAUUCACCGUUACUACAGGUCCAUCAAAAGAUCCAUGUCUUUGUCCUUUCUUCUCGCUGCAUGCACGAGGCUAUGAUGAGCCAUUCCAUCAAAACCCAUAUUCAGUACCUGCCAGACACCAGCUACAUCAAUUUCACUCCAAUUGUGGUCUGGUGAGAUGACCGAAGCAUAAUCUCGGAACAUUUCGAAGCCGUUGUUGAAACAUUCAACCAUUUCAUGGUUAUGUUCUUCAGAUUGUGUGAAUGUUUCGAGGACAUUUUUCUUUGUGUCUUCCAAUUUCAACUUCAAGGACUCUAACUCUUUGCUCCGACUUUUUGCUUUAAGAGCUUGCUUCACCUCUCCAGCGUAUGCUUUGUUCAACUUGUUGGCCAAGUUUCCCAUAACUUGGCCAUGAAUAUCGCACUUACUCUCCCACCAAUCCGUUGCCUUUGACAUAUAUUGGAGGUGGUGCUUGACGGCAGAGAUUUUGUCAAGCGGAUCAUGAGUGUCAGCCUCACUUCCAAAUGAAGUGGGAUCAUGAUUGGGAGUCCGAGGUGGAGAUGGGAAUGGCACAUGCCAGGGCUGGUCCCCCGGGUAACUCACAUGCUCGUUAGGAGGGCGUACAUCUGACAUGUUGAAGUAUUACUGGGGACAAUUCACAGCUGUUGCCUGCAACCAAACAAAUAGAGGUACAUUCAGUCUCCAGUUGUAAACGACUAUAUGGUUAGGUUGAGUGGAGAAUAUUUGCCUUUCAGUAAGACUAAUUACCUUUCCCGUUAAGAAGGUGCCUCUGUUGCAGUUCUAUAUAGGAAGGUUCAGUUAUAUGUACGAACUUAUAUGAGGUAAAUUGGGUUUUGUGUUGGUGCAUUAAAUUGAUGGGAUUCAAAACUACACCAUUAACUCCUUGGCUGUAAGUUACAGCAGUACAACAUGACAUUAACAACAAUAAAAUUGUAUCUCUAUGUAUUUUUGGCAACUGGGCAAAAAUAAUGUUGACGAGUGGGUUCAGAUUCUCCUCCUAAACGUAUUUUUGGCAACUGGGCAGCUGUGUUCAAGCACCCCAAAUUAGGAGGGGCAGAGUACACUUACACUUCAUUUCUUUCAGUACCAUUAUCACCACCAUGCAUCUCCUCCACCUCGCUAAAAUCAAUCAUAUCCAUAAAAUCUGUCCCUACUUCACCUCCCAAAUCAGUGACAUUUGUAUUAUUCCAAGUUACUUCAUUGCUUUCAACAAUGGCAACUGAAGAAUGACCCAUCCGACUACUAUCUGUCGUGAUAUGCAUACUAUGAACUACAUCAUUUGUCAGUCCUUUAUCUUCUAUACUCAUGAGUAAGGGAGCUAGUUUUGAAGGUGUUACCUCGGAAUUGUACUUCAUAAAAAAAUUGACAUCAUCAUCGUCCUCAAUCUUUAUGCGCUUCCACUCAUUCGAGGCCACCAAAACUGAGAAUUUUAAGCAAACCUUGUCUUCCCUGCUGUUUGUAUUACCAAUCUGAUGCACACGGUCCAACAGUUCAGCAAAAUUGAUGGUCCGUGGAACUAUUAAGCCUUUUGAGUCACCCCCUUCGUAUUUGCACAUCUUCUUCGAGGUGACCCAUUUUCCAUUGUAGCACACGAGAAUAACAAUUGUCUCCAUUUCUGACCAUGACAAAACAACAUUUCAUUCACACAAUAUAACCACAAUAACCAUACAAUACAAUAGCAAUAUAACCACAAUAUAACAGCAAUAUAUAGGCAAUAUAAUGGCAAUAUAACAGCAAUACGACUGUAAAAUAAGAGGAACACAUCAGAAUCACACUAUACAGAUCUACUACAUCAAAUAGAAAUUCCCAAGUUUCAAGAUUCACAUAUCCAGACCAAUCUAAAUGCAAUUGGUACAAACCCAGAUGAAUGAGCAUGAAUAUUCAACAAAACCUAACCCAAAUAAAUUAAAGCCAAAACGAAUUUAACACAAACCCAAACAAUCAAACUAUAACCCAUUUCACAUAAUACUGAUAUUAAGAAAAUAACCAUCAACACUACCUUUUCGAGGUCGGCAAUCCAGUAGAGCUUCAAGGUUGCAAGCAGCUAUUCAGAAGACAUAGCUAAAGGGAGGGGUUCGCGAUUCCAAACAGAGAGCAAGAGAUCGAAUAGGGGAGAAAGGGACAUAACGAAGCUAGAGAGAGACAGCUGCGCUAUGAGAAACAGAGCAAAGAGAGAGACAGAGAGUUGUGCUAGAGAGACAGAGAGAGAGCCAAGAGAGAGAGAGCCAAGAGCGAGAGAGCCAAGAUAGAGAGAGCCAAGAGAGACACAGAGAGCUGUGAUAGACAGAUACCAAAGAGAAAGAGAGCUGUGCCAGAGAGAGAGAGAGAGAGCUGUGUGAGCUUCUUCUCUCCAAAAUUUCUGAACUUGUGAAAAAUCAGCAAUAAGUGGGCAAUAAUUUUAUAUUUAUAGGUGAUAGUUGUACAAAAAUUGGGAAAGGAUGGUAUUUUUAAUUAAAAUUAUGAAAUGGGUGUCAUUUAGGGCUAUUUCCCUUUUUUUUUAAAAGCUUCAAUUACAAUGGUUGAAAUGAAAACCGUUGUGGAAAGUUGUAAAGUAAAAUCAGAAAACCACAUACCCUAAACGACAACGCUUAAAAACCCCUUAUAACAACGGUUACGUAAUAACCGUUGUGGAAGAAACAGCUACAACGGUUUUGGAGCCAACCGUUGUGUAUUCAACGUUGUCUUUUUGAAUAUUUGUAGUAGUGUAAACAAUUCCUUUUGUUAUCAUCCAAUACCACUUCCAUUAAACUAACAAUGUUAUUACACUAGACUGGAACAUUACAGCCAUUAAUCAACGUGACAGUAAAGGUGUGAUUUUUAAAUGUUUUACCUUUGAACCAUUUUCUGCUUGAAAUUCUUCAGCGUUUUGUGUUGAAUGGUUGCUUCUCUUUAUUUAUCGUGAUUUUAUAGGUGGUGAUUAGUAGUAGAUGUGAUGGUGUUUUUUGAAAAAUACAAAUACAAAUGAAGCAGCUACGGUUUUCGGGGACGUUUUCUUGGUAAUGAAUUGUUUGAGGUUUUUUGUUUAUAAAAUUGGGCUGGGCUUGUUUUGGGUGUUUUUUGAGUUUUUUUUUGUAUUAGGCUUCUUUCAGUGGCAGUCACGUAAUUUUUAGGAAUUUCAACACCAAUUUCUUAUGUAAUAAAUCAGUUUCGGGUAUGUUUCUAAAGUGCAUUCCAUGUGGGGUUUUUUUUUAUAAAUAAUUUUAGCCCCUAUUUUAGUUAUAUUAGUAAAAAUCCCCUUAAAACAUUAUUCCAAGAAAAAUGUCUUAUGCACACCCUAUUCAUUUUCAAAAGAUCAAACUUAUUUACCAAAAAAAUAAUAAAAGAUCAAACUUUAACACCCUACAAAAGAGAAAAUAGGGUUACAGCAAGAAAUUAAUGUAAAGGAUAAAACUAUAUUGAAAAUUUCUCUACUCAAUAUUUUUGUCUAGAAAAACAAGAUACACAAAUUUACAAAUUUCCUUUCUUUUCCCCAAGUCCACCAUUUCAUAAAAGUGUAAUGUUAUUAACACAAGAAACUAAUAUUUUUAAUCACGAACCAAACAAUUUAUACUAGAAACUAAUAUUUUUUAUACUAGAAUUGUCCAGACAUGUCAUUAUCUCUCCUCCCAAUCAAAAUACUCCAUCUAUGCGAAAAUUGACCUUUAGCUUUGGAGAAUCUCCAUUGCUAAAGGCACCCAAGAACCAAAGUAUUAAGAACCGAUGGAUAUGAUAUAGUGAUAUGCUUCAGACAUUCCCCGUCGCUAAAGAUUAUUUAUGACUUCGCUCUUCACUUAAUCGCCGAUACGUAAGUUGUUACCACAUGCCAAAAAGAGCAUUGACCUCCGAUGCCUAAACAUUUAAUAACAUCAGGGAAUAUAUCAGCACUAAUGCUAAACUUAUGAGUUCUGCCAGUAAACCAAAAUUCAUACAUCAUCCAUACAUAAAUAAGCAAAAUACUACCAAAACAAAGAGAAUGUUCAAACUCAAAUCCACUAUAAAACAUGACUUGGCCAUUAAAUGAAAAGACCAUAUAAGAUUAAGAAAAACCAUAUAAAAAUCUUUAACAAGAAUCUAAAGAAAAACUAUAUAAAAUCUUUGACAAGAAGCUAUGCACAAUCUUUAACAAGAAGCUAAAGAAAAACAAAAAUACCAAUGAAACACUCAGAAAAGGCAAGUUUCUGUUGAAAUUAAAAUUGAACAAACUAGCACUUCAUAAAAUUUUGAUAUCCAUUCACCUCCUUCCGAUUUAUUACUACUAAUAAGGGUAACCGGCUCCAUCAUUACAAGUUAUUAGCUAAACGAAGGGGAACCACUGACAGUCACAAACUAAUAAGGGUAACCGGCUCCAAAAGAAGAAGGACCAAAAAUUCCUUUCGUCGGCCACCUCUGCCGAAAAGAGGGAAACAUAAUUUGGCACGCCCAGUGGGACCACUAGGUUUUGUAUGGUCGUAAACACUAGGAAGAAUCCCAGAAGAGAUCAAGAAUUUGAAGAAUCUAGACUUUGGUUGGAAUCAGAGACAAGCAUGGCUGGUUCAGUCCCUACGAAUACUCAGCCACAAAAUAUUCCAGCCGCUCAACAAGAGCAAAAUGGCCCCGGCCAAGCAACGGCCCUUGGCCAUGACCAAGUGUUAGUUGAAGAUGUUACGGAAGUCGUUGGGGGACCAGUCUUGAGGCCAAAUCUGGCCACUUCAUUGGAACUCCAACAACUCAUGUGUGUCAUGGAGACAAUGGCACAAACUAUGGUCACUCAAAAUGCUCAAAUCAAUGAGAGGUUUGAUCGAUGGUUAGGCCAACAAAAUGGCCAAAAUGGGAAUCAAGGGGCCCUUAAUGGAGCACCAGCGGCCGGGCCUCAAGUGGAGGCCCAACCAAAUGGCUUUGGAGUAAAUCCGCCCCAACCUAAUCCACCAGCUGGGGGCAACCAAGCCCUAGUGAUUAAUGUUCCGCCGAUGGGCAACAAUCCAUAUGCAGCGGUCAACCAAUUCCAAGUUUUUCCUCCAUAUAAUCAGUUCUGCCCACAAGCUCACCAAGGGGCUGGAGCCAAUUUUGUUGGGCCUCAUAUCAACCAAUUUGCCGGAGUCGGUGGUUGGAAUAAUCCAGGUGGGAAUGCUAAUAACCCGUUGCUAGGGAAUCAAGCAAUCGACCGAGGUGCGGUCGAGCAAAUGAUUCAAGAUAUGGUGCCCCAUGCUAGGAGGAUUGGUAGGCCAGUCUACUGAGGGCCAUAUUAGGAGCAUUUUGAUCAAGAGGAAUUUCCGAGGGGUUUCAAGGUUCCGAAUUUUGCACUAUUUUCGGGAGAUGGGCUCCAAUCAACCGUUGAACACAUCGGCCGAUUCACGGCCCAGUGUGCGAAGAUUGGGCACCGCGAGGCCCUGAAACUAAGGCUAUUUCCGAGUACCCUUACGGGGGCAGCUUUCUCAUGGUAUGUUAAGCUUCCUCAAAACUCCGUCCCGAAUUGGCAAGUUAUGGAGCAAGUCUUCCACGAGCAAUUUUAUCGACCGGAGUCGGAAAUCUCAAUGGCCGACUUGGCGAAGAUAAGUCAGAAGCCAAGUGAGUCGGUCCAAGAAUACUUGGGGCGAUUCAGAGAAGCAAAGGCUAGGUGCACGGUCAAUAUGCCAGAGCACGAAUUUGCAAAAUUGGCCCAAGGAGGUUUGUUGCUUGACCACCAAAAGAAAUUCGAAGGAAUUGAGUUCCACGACAUUUAUGAUCUCUUACUUCGGGUGGACCGAUACGAAGCUUUUCUAAAGGAGGAGCAACAAAAAGGGCGGCCGACACCUCGACUAACAUUUUAUAAAGAUUCAACCAAACCUUCCGAGUCUAGGACUACGUCGAUCCACGCGGUGGACAUUGAAGAUAUAGAUUCAGAAGAAAGAGAUGAUAAAGUUUACUUCGAGGAAGAAGAAGAAUCGGCUGGAGUAAACUUGGCCGAGAUUGUGGCCAAAGGGCCAUAUGUGUGCAAGGCUUUGUCUAAAGCUUCUAAGGAUCAAAGGCCGACCACGGCCCAAAUGUCCAAGUUUAGUGGAACCUCCCAAAAGGCGGUUGUGACAAAGUCCUACACGUUUGAUAUUUCUAAAGCCGAACAAAUUUUCAACCAACUUUUGAAAGAAAAUAUCAUAAAAUUGUCUAAUGAUCAUGAUAUUCUGGAGGCUAAUGAACUUAGAAAUAAAACUUAUUGCAAGUUUCACAAUGUGUGGUCUCAUACGAUUAACAAUUGUCUGGUUUUUUAGAAUGCCGUAUAGGAUCUCAUCGAUUGGAAGAAAUUGAAAUUUCCAGAGAAAGCUACAAUAGGCGUCGACCAGAAUCCUUUCCCAAAUGCUCAAGUCAACAUGGUGAAUGUUAACUUCCCAAGGCCAGACCAACCUAGGCCAAGGUUGGACUUAGGUGGUUCGGCAAGGGCUGCGGCUGAAAGAAGGGCAAGGGAGAUCCCGGCGGACCCUAAGGCAAAAGGCAAGGCCAAAAUGUAUCCUAAGGUGGUCAAGGUUCUCGAGACAAAAGUUUCAACCAAGGAAGAACCUCCAAAGGCCAUUGUGUUAUGCAGUCAAUGCCAAUGUGAGGUGACUCUUGAAGUGGUUCCGCCAAAGCCCAAUAAGCCAACUAAGGAGCCCACCAAGGGGCUAAUCAAGGAGCAAAUCAAGGAUCAAGUCCAAGUGGGCAGAUCUAGGAAUUUCGAAAGGAAUAUGAUAACAAGUCUGGCCGAGAAUUACGGCCCACAUAGCCUAAGGGGCGGAAUGGAAGUGAGGCAGAACAAACGGCCAUUGCAUGAGUACCAAGAUAGGUACGAGAGGCCGAGAUAUCAGUUGAAGAGGAGAAAUCAACAUGCCCCUCUAAGAUAUGAAGACAUUGAUUCACCAGACUCAAGCCAAAACCGAAGCAUGUGGAUUUCGGUAGGAGAAGGCAAAAGCUGAGAUGUGGCCUACGUGUCAAGACCCCGCCCCGCGGACUGUAGUGGUGUCCCAACUUUCAAAGUGCCAAACACAAAGGCGAGCCAAUGGUAUAGAAGCAGAGGCUCAAAACUCCCACCGAUACCUCUGAGCAAGACUCAAACAAGAAGGGCACAAAAGCAAUAUGCCACCACUUGCAAGACAGAGUUAGAAUGGGCAGACAAGAGGCAAGCUCAACUUCACCGAUUAGUCGAGCUUUGAGAGAAGCUUCAAUUGGAGGAGUUAGAGUUGGCUAAGGACGAUGCUGUCGUUUUCGUUUUCUUGGAGGCAGCCGCGGCCGAAGAGAUGAAAAUACGUUGAGAAUGGGUGAAUGGCCGAGUCGUGGUAACGGCCCCGAAGGAGCAAAUCUUGGAGUUGGAGGCCCAUUUGACUGGGGCUUUUGAGGCAAAUAACUCUAAAGUGGAAGUUAGUGAGCCGAUCAAGAAGAGAGGAGAUAAACCUUUUAAGGUUCAAAAGGCGAGGGCGGCUCCACCGAAAAUCAAGCCUCCGGUCAUCAAGGCCCCGGCCAUGACCAAAGUGGCUCAGCCCACCAAGGUUGAGAGUAAAGAAGAAAAUGACCAAAACUUGGUCCAAGAAGCUGGGGAUGAACCCCAUAAGAUAUUAAGCGAACUUAGGGCGGAAGAAGACCAAGUCAUGGUCGACGCCGAAGCCAAUGUGGUAGAAAAAGAGGCCGAGCACACGGCCGAAGAAGAAGCUAAAGAGCCAUUGGAAAAUUUUGAAGGUUCGGCGGCCGAAGACAAAGAGCUCUAUGAGGAUGAUGAGGAGUAUGCUGAUGACGAGUACUUAGAGGAUCUAUCGGAGGAAGCUAUGGAGCAUUUAGAGAAAGAGCGCAAUGGAGAGAUGGCCAAGUUUGAGAAUAAACUAAAAGUGGGCAAGGUCGAAGUCAAGUUUGGAGACUUUGACGAGGUAAAUGUCAUGGUUGUUACACUCCCACUAUUUUUCGAAGCUCGUCCGAAUCAACCUAAUUAUAUGGACGGAGAUGUGUUCGAUGAGGUUGAGUCCAUGGUCCAAAUGGAAGGGGCCAAAGAAAUUAAGGUGGCCCGAGAAAUUCCAAAGGAAGGGAAUGUCCAACCUUGCAUCAUGGUGCCCAAAAAGGAGGAAAAGUUGCCUGAGAAGGUUUGCUAUGAGAUGCCCACCAAGUCCUCCCACCUUAAGCCCUUGUAAGUAGGAGCUCAUUUCGAUGGAGUUCCGGUGAGCAAAGUCCUUGUGGAUACGGGGGCUAUAGUCAAUAUCCUACCAGCCGCAAUCAUGAGGAAGUUAAAGAAAGGCUCAGAUGAGUUAAUUCCGACCGAGACAACGGUCAGUGGGUUCGUGGGAGACACCACGACUUCAAAGGGGAUUAUCCCACUCCAAAUUAGAGUGGGGCAAAAGUUAGGAUAACUGCCUUCUUUGUGGUGUUGACAAAGGCCCAUUUCAAUGCUUUGUUGGGCCGAGAUUGGAUCCAUGGAAGCAUGUGUGUGCCCUCUUCACUUCAUCAGUUUUUGCAAUUUUAGCACGAGGAUGGAAGUGUAGAGAUUGUUCAGGCCGAUGCACGGCCCUUCAUGGCUUCCUCCAAUGCAGUAGAGGCAAAGUUUUAUGAGGAUGACAUUGGGCCUCUUUAUUUUAUGGGGUCAGCUAGGAACGGUCGACCUACAGGAGUCUUGGCCUAAAAGUUAAUAGACUUGAGGGCACAUGAUGCCCAAGCAUAUGAGGAGCGCCCCACUAUAGCUAAUUUUUUUCUCCCUCAAUGAGUAAUACAAAUAUAGAGGAAGAGAAAAGGGCCGCGGUGGAAGACACUUUGAGACGGCUAUACGAUUUUUGGGCUGAAAGAGUGGCCGAGCAUGGGUCCACCGCCAACUUGGUGGAAUUUCUUCAUGAAGGUCCGGAGGAUGAUGCACUUGAGCUCUAAGAAGUAGAGUUGGCGCCAAGCGAGAUGGAUUAUUCGAAGGCGGAAGUCCAAGACCCUUUGUUAGAAAUAAACUUGGGGACGGAAGACAACCAUCGACCGAUCUACAUCAGUUGUCUAAUGGAGCCAGAACUUCGGGCCAAGAUGGAAGAGCUUUUGAGAGAGUUCAAGGAUUGCUUCGCUUGGGAUUACACCGAGCUGCCCAGAUUGAGUCGUGACUUGGUCUAGCAUCGCCUACUAACGGUGGAAGAUUUCAAGCCCUUUAAGCAGCCACCCCGCCGAAUGUCAGCGGAAGUAGAGCUACAUGUUAAGAAAGAAAUUGUAAGGCUUGUGAAAGCCAAAUUUAUUAGGCCAGCUAGAUAUGUAGAAUGACUUUCAAAUAUUGUACCUGUAAAGAAAAAAACGGGAGCAAUAAGAAUAUGUGUUGAUUUUCGCAAUCUUAAUCUUGCAACUCCUAAAGAUGAAUAUCCCAUGCCCAUGGUCGACCUUUUGGUCGAUGGGGCGGCUAAGCACGAAAUUUUAUCAUUCAUGGAUGGGCACUCCGGCUAUAACCAAAUUUUUAUAGCUGAGGAGGAUGUCCACAAGACAGCCUUCAGGUGCCCCGGAUCCAUUGGAACUUUUGAGUAUGUGAUGAUGCCCUUCGGCCUGAAAAGAGGGCCAAAUUAUGUUUCCCUCUUUUCGGCCGGGGUGGCCGACGGAAGGAACUUUUGGUCCUUUUUUUGGAUGCGGGGCGUGCCACCACCAAGCCCCGAAUUUGGGCUUGAAUGGAAUGUGAAUAGAUGGAUGUGUUGCGCUUCUAACUUCUGACCAAACGAUUGAUCAGCCAAGCAAGGAACCUCCUCUUGGCCUAGAUUCUUUCACUUUCUUGGGCUCGAGAAUGGUUAGGUUUCGUACGAAUGUUUAUGUGAUUUUUAGGGUUUUAUGUAAAAAUAAUGCAAUUAAACUAAAUAUGCGUAUAAACGUAAAGACAAGAAUUGAAGUGCGAUAAAAUAAAUCAAAGCGAUAAAAAUGAUAAAAUAAACAAACUUGAAAUUAAACUUAAUUGAAGUGCGAUAACAGUGAAAUGUAAAAGAAUCGAAAUAGACUCGAAAUUAAACGACAAGAAAUAUUAAUCGAACAAGAAUUUAAAUGACAAGAGAAAUAUAAACUUACACUAGAAAUAUGAAGAACUCACUACACUAGGUGCUUGAAAAGUAAAAUCCUAAGUCUAUGAAAAGAAAAGUGCGAGACGAAAGAUAAGUUUGUUUGUCUGAUGUUUUCAUCGAGCAAGGUUUAUAUAGGGCACUCGUCAGCCCAUAGGCCAAAGGUCAACUCUUUAAAACUUAUUUCCUUCCAAAGCCCCCCUAAAUCCGUAGGAUUGCACUGAUAUUCUGACAUGCUUGAUUCUUCCUUGUUUUGGAACACUCGGAGUUACUAUAAAAAUCCCUUGAUUUCUUUCCUUGUGAGGCCCUCCGUCGCGUGCACAUAAUCCUAUGAAAAUCUGGGCGUGAAGCCUUCAUCUCUUGGGCGUGUACAUUAUCUCAUAUAUACAUAUAUAUAUAAAUAUAUAUUAUUAUAUAUGUAUGAAUAGGACAAAUAAUCUCUUGCAAAAAUCUUCAGCCCAAGAUCAACCAAAGACUUCAAAUUUACCCAGCCGCAUUUUGUCCAUUCAUACAUUAUUUUUUAUAUAUACAUAUAUAUAUAUAUAUAUAUAUUAAGACAAAAGAAACUUUUCAGCCCAAUUUGCAAAACAAUCAACUAUUCCAGCCGCUACUAUUCAUCUAUAUAUAUAUUAUAUCAAUAUGAAGUUAGCCGCCCACUUUGCAAUCCUUCCUAAAGCACCAACUCUAAAUAUUCGGCCUUGUUAUAAAUCUAGAGAAAUUGGAGAGGAAAUUGAGAGAGAGAGAAAGUAGAGAAACUGAGUUUCUUCAUUCUCAUUUCUAUCUGUAUGUGUCGAUUACAAUGAGGGAUGAACCCUUUUGUAGGCAAAAGCCUUCCAACAUGUGGGCUCCACACCUAAUUAUUUACAACACUCCCCCUUGGAGACCACAAAUGAUACGGAAUAUGCCUCGUUAAAAAAACCUUGCCAGUAAAAACCCAGUGGGACAAAAACUGGUCAAAAGGAAAAAGAGUACAUAAUCAUGUGUAACAUAAAAUUCUAUGUAUAUUGACGCGCGUUCGACACUGCCUCGUUAAAACCUUGCCAGGAAAAAUCCAGUGGGAUGGAAAAAGAGUACAGUGUUUGAAGAUCUUUAUUGAUAGCACGCCCCUGAUGCUCGACAAAAUAUCUUUAAGUCAUACUGUUGAUCACCUUUCUGAAUAUCAUAGUUGACACUGCUUCUGUGAGUCAAUCUUGAGCGACAUUGCCUCGUUAAAACCUUACCAGGAAAAAUCCAGUGGGAUAAAAACCUGGAUGAAGGAAAAAGAGUACAGUGUAUGGAGGUCUUUAUUAAAACCACGCUCCCUUUUGUGAAUAUCUCCCCCUGAAAAAUUUAUACUGAUGGAAGGAAGAGUACAACAAUUUGUAUAGCAUACUUCUGGAUGCUCCCCCUGAUUAAUAUCUCCUCCUGAUGUCUUCAUGACUAUCUUUUGGAGUGAGAAUCUUUCGGAGUGAGUGGAGGAUAUAGCUAUUAACAAUUCUCGUAGUUGAGUAAGUAAAUAUAUUUCCAGUGAGCUAUCUCUAUGUAAAUCAUAGAAAUUUUCAGAGUCCGCGUUUUCAACAAAACUUGGGCUAUUUGCAAGUUCAUUUGAAAGAAUAUGCCCGUACAUGGUGUUAUGCGGAGAUAGCAUCAAAUAUACCUCACAUCAUCCCAAAAUGAUGGUGAUGGAGUUGAGCCCUAUCUGGAAAAUAUGAUGUCCGGUCCAAUAUACUUCCGGAAAAUCAUUAAAGUGUCCAACGGAUAAUCCUCAUAAAAAUGCUUCAAUACUUUCUUAGUAUAAGCAAGAAUCUCGUUGGCAUAAUGCUCGAUCCUUAAGUCGAGACAAAUAUCUCUUGAACUCUUCAGAAGCUUUAAUGUGUUGCAAACACAUUAUAAUCAAUGUACUCACUGAGGUAAUUUAUGCAUAUUAAUAUUGAGUACAAAUUUUGUGCUUCAAGCACAUGUCCUUUAGGGACUUGCUUUAUGCAAUGUCAAUCCUCUCAACGGAUUUUGUUUAAAAGGGAUUAAACUUUAUGACACAUUAUAUAGCUUUUACCCAGCUAUUUAUACACCUUUAGGAAAUCGCUUCUGGCGAUAUGCUCCGUGCAUUUAAUAACCCUUAAAGAUAAUAUGUUGGUCUCCGUAAUUGUGUAAUAAGGGGGGCACAAUUGAUUCUGUAAAUAUGGAGAAAACCCAACAUUCCUUGUUUCUGCCAGAAACAGUGUGUCAUACAAAGUAGGUAUAUUCCCUUUUAUUCCGAACACCCAAAUAUAAAUUUCAGUAUUAACAUCUUUUGGGGUUCGUACUGUGGGUUUGUUCAUUCACGUUCAUUCACGUUCAUUCUCAUCUAUAAUGGAAUUACCUCAUUCCAUUUUGGCCAAUAAUAUUGUCGACAUUUAAUAAUUGAACGUGGUUCCAAUCAACACAGCCCAUUGAUGAUUUGAGUAGCUACUCCAAAACCAAAAAUUGUCAUUCAUCAAUUCAUGAUCUCACCAUUCUCAUGUGCAUGCGCAUGCAUCAAUUAUAAGCAUUUCUUUGCUUUUGGGUACCCAAGCCACUUCAUGGGGCUUUUAUUAUGUGAGAAUGUGGAUUAUAACCUCCAAUGGAGCGUUAUUUUACAGUAGGGCGUGGAUAAUCUCCAUUUAGGGAGUUGGAACAUUUAGAACCCAUAUAUCUGUCAUGCUGAAGGCAUGCCACAGAUUAAUACAUUCAUGUCAAUUAAUUGCUGGGACCUUAAUCCAUAUUAUGGGACUUUAACCCAUAUAAUUUGCUACGCAUUAGGCGUGCAUAAUAUCAAUAUUGACAUGUCAAAGGAUUGUCCUUUCGGGACUUCAAUCCACAUCAUUUGCUAUGCAACAGGCGUGCAUCAUAUUGAUCACUGCUAUACCCAUAUUCUGUUCUUAUGGGACUUUAAUCUGUGCAGUGUAUUAUCAAUGUAUCCAACUUGCAAUCUGUAAAAUUUACAUUAAUAAUGCGUGGAUACAUACAAGCCAUUCUUUUGGAACAGACUUAUCUUCCCAUUUGGUUACCUUUCAAGAUAAAAUAUCAAAUAAGUAUAUAAGCAUAAAAUAACACAAGUAUUGCUUACAUCCUUAGGUGGGAGAAACUUUUCUCAAGUAUCAUUCAAGCUCGUAUCGGCCCAGUAAAUAUAAUGUAGCGCUUGAUGAUCUAGUUAUAUCCUGCAAGAGCAAAAUCACAAUUCUUUUCUCUGUCAAAAACAAAUAACCCUCAGAGUUAGAAUCACUCCAUGGAUUCUUUCUUCAGAUGUUCAUUCUAAAGAAAUAAAAUUUCUUAUGAACAGAGAGUUACAAAAAGAGAAAAAAUGCAAAAAAUUGUGAUAUUGAUUGCAAGAGAAGGUAAGCAAUCAGGGAAGGAAGCUGGUGGGAGCAGACAACAAGCUCAGCAAUCAAGGAAGGAAGCUGGUGGGAGCAAACAACAAGCUCUCAUUUCUUCUAGUUUAGAAGAACUUCCGGAGAUUAGAGCAUAAGGCUGCCUUCACAGUUCCCUGAUGUGGCGGAAACGUGAUCAGGGAUAGUCUCGCUUCGUGAAUGGAUGAUCAGAGAUAGUCUUGCUUCUCGGGCAUAUUAAGUGCUCACUGAUAAGAAAAACAAGUAGAUAUCGCAUUGAGAGGGAAUUGAGAUAGAUCAAGUAUAGAAAUCUGAUGUUUCUCAUUGAAUGUUUUUCUUACUCAUGUCUUCUGCAAAGAAAAUUUCGUUAGUAACAUAUUUAUACACAAAUACAAUGAAUAGGUAGAACCGGUGAAUUUCAAAUUAACCAUAGGAAAAUUGCCAGAUUCUCGGGAUACUUUUGAAAAAGUAGCUCCGUGAAAUCCGUAAAGCAAGAUCAGCUUUGACGAAAAUAAUACUUGGAAACGCCGAAAGUGACGACAGGCAUUAUCAAAGGCCACGUGAAGUUUUGGACUCUGGGAAAGAAAAAGAUAAUAUGGGGAUCUGAGAUAAUAUUGGGAUCCUGGAAACUGUAGCCAUAUUUCCUCCUAUAGAUAUGGCCUUUGCAAAAUUUGAUUGGAGCAACUGCGUUUCAACUUGCUCCUUUCCUGUUAUAAUAAUUGCGCACAUUCUUAAAAUUUGCACCUGUGGUUUUUACGUCUUUUCAAAAUGACGGUUUUGGAACCUUGUGCCUUAUCGAUUCAAAUAACUACAUCGACUCUCCCAAAUUUCAUAUUUCAACGUAUGGGAGCCCGGAACUUUUUGGCCUGGGCUAAACACAAAACUCAGAAUUUAUUUGCCCUUUUCAAAUGGACAUGAAAUAUGAAUUGAGUAAAACCUACGAUAAUAUCGCAAUAUAGUAGUGAAGAGCAUUAACUACUAUAUACCCACAACCUCAAAUUCGGGAUUUCUCAUAUAUUUGAAUCCAUGUGCUUUUGGCCCAGAUAUAUCAAAAUAUGUGGGGAGCCUUAAUUCAUCAUUUGAGGUUUAUACUGAUAUUAUCCAUUUCACGGUGUAUUCUUAACAAUCGGAAUUCACAAAAUAUAUUUCUUCCUUGAGGUGUCGAUUAUAACAGAAUCGAACUUUAUUAAAUUCAUCAUUCUCUUAUGCCAAAGAAAUAUGUGGCGUACCACAAUUUGCAAUAAUACCUCAAGGGUUGUCCAUUUAAUUGUUGGAACUUCAGGUUCUCAACACUGUUAGAUUUUGAACCUCAAGCCAAAAUCACAUAUUCUCAUGGUAUGGACAUUUUAUCCCCUUAGAUUUUGAACUUCGGGCCAAAAUCACAUAUUCUCAUGGUAUGGACAUUUUUACAAUUUUCUGUACAUAUUUCUGGACUUCAAGCCCUUACAUAAUUGUCCAUAUUUUGAGGAACUUCUGGCAUCUCAUUUAAUUGCUCAUCCAUGAGUUUAAGGAACUGCAGGUUCCCUUUUGAAUGGUGAUAGUUUACCCAAAAUGGUAAAUAUUUAUGCAUACAUCACUAUUCAUGUAUACGGCACUAUUCAUGUGUACAGUACAUUAGCCAGUACAGUUAUCAUCCAUGUGUACGGCAUUAUGAACCAAUACGGUACUGUUACAUCAUUAAGGAACCCCAGGUCCUUAUUUACAUGUCAAGGAUCAAGGACCCUCAAUUCCAAUCACAUGUUUACAAAUAUAGUACCGGAGAGACUGCCAGCUCUCAUAUUAACAUCAUCAUCAAGGAUCUUCAAGUCCUGAUGUAAUUGUAUGAUGAGGAUCAAGGAACUUCUGGUCCUGAUCUGCAUACUGUAAAAACUCAUCAUACAGCACAAUUAAUCCAUAAAAUAAAUUACUGGUAAAUAAAUUACUGGUAUGGACGAUAAACCCGCACCAUACUUUAAAUAAAAUUAAAUGUGCGGUAAAGUAAAUGUGCUUGUAUGGGCACUAAUUCUGCUCCAUACAUUUAAAUAAAAGUAAAGGCAUGGGCGAUAAACCCGCGCCACCCUUUUAAAUAAAUACUGUCGUAUGGGUAAUAAACCUACACCAUACAGUAAAUAAUGUACAGUAAAGUAAUUUCAUAAAGUAAAUUUCAUAAAGUAUGAGGGUCAAUUCCACAUCAUACUUUAAGUAAAAGUAAAUUUGCGAUAAAGUAAACGUGCUUGUAUGGGCACUAAUUCUGCUCCAUACAUUUAAAUAAAAGUAAAGGCGUGGACGAUAAACCCGCACCACCCUUUUAAAUAAAUACUGUCGUAUGGGUAAUAAUCCUACACCAUAUAGUAAAUAAAAUAAAUGUGCGGUAAAUUAAAUUUUAUAAAGUAUGAGGGUCAAUUCCACAUCACACUUUAAGUAAAUUUGCGAUAAAGUAAAGGCAAUUAUUAGUGGGUUCUUAUCAACACCACGAUCAAAUAGUAUGAUAUUAUAUUAAAUCAUUUUAUAAAGUGGAAGUCAUAAUUACCCUGACCGAAGUGCACGUUAAGAUUCCAAAGGCAAGAGACCAAGUGGGUGGCUUUUUUUUUUUUUUUUUUAAUUGUUUAUCCGACCCCAGCCAAUUGUUGUUUGCACUUGCCAUUUUGGAAAGCAAACUCACGGCCCACUUGCAAGUUGCAAGUCCAUGCUAUUAUUGUUGUUGUUUUGGGAUGAACACUGAUCAUCAUCAUCAUCAUCAGUACCAGAGGAGGCCAAAGUGGUCGUCUGGUUCAGCAUCCUCAACUCUCCACUUUCUAAACACCAGAGUCGCCUAUGAGCACCACCUUGAACAGGUAGUCGUAGUCGUCAUCUGCUCUGUCCGGGCGAGCAUGAUCGGAUCCGUUCAAGAGCUGAAAAUGGCGAUCCAAAUACCGACUCGGCUGCUAUUCAUCGAUGGUGAGUAGAGAGAACCAGUCCUGCUGAAAUCAAAGAUUUCCAGAUUGUGAUUGCAGACAAAGAAGAGGGGAAGAAGCAGUUGGCACCCAAGAGAAGCUCAAACAUAGACAGACACACAAAGGUUGAAGGCAGGGGAAGGAGGAUACGGAUGCCUGCUCUGUGUGCAUCAAGAAUUAUUUAAUUUUUUUUUUUCAAUUGACCAGAGAAUUGGGCCACAAAUCUGAUGGGGAAACCAUACAGUGGCUUUUGCAGCAGGCCGAACUUUGAGGUUGAAAAAGCAAUAGAAGCUUGUGUGAGAGAAGCCAUUGGUGUCGACAGAAGAGAGAUCUGUGUGACUGAGAUUGAGAGAGGAGACAGAGAUGACAAGGAGAUUUCUGAAAAUUCUGUGUCUCUAUGAAUAUUGGAUAAUUGGAUUGUCUAUGAGUGAUUGUCUAUGAGUGUCGGUGGAUCGUUUGGCAUGAAGCCGAAAGAGAAGACUGAGAUCACAGAGAGAGAGAUUAGAAGGCCUCUCUGAUCUUCAAUAAUUUGGGCAGGAAGGUCUUCAUUGGUGGAAGAAAAAGAUGGAAGCUUUGAAGAAUUUCUCAGCUGGUAUUUUAGAGAUAAUCGUGCUGAUAACGUGUUAUAAAUCUAGAGAAAUUGGAGAGGAAAUUGAGAGAGAGAGAAAGUAGAGAAACUGAGUUUCUUCAUUCUCAUUUCUAUCUGUAUGUGUCGAUUACAAUGAGGGAUGAACCCUUUUGUAGGCAAAAACCUUCCAACAUGUGGGCUCCACACCUAAUUAUUUACAACAGGCCUCCAUUUAUAUAUAUCUCUCUCUCUAUAUAUAUAUAAUUAAAGCAAUCAACUUUAAAGCUACUCGGCCCGAUUUGUAGAAUUCUCACAAACCUCGACCUGCAAAAAUCUCGGCCGCCAAACUUCCCUUCGAACCUCCAAACUCGGCCAACUUCAAUCUCCAGCCGCCAAGAAGCCCAAGGCACCGGUCGCAGGAAUCCUGGCAGCCCCUCACGCAUUAGAUCGCGAAAAAAAACUGGGUGUUAGCACCUAAAUCCCGACCGCACCUUUAACUCAAUCGUGCCCAGCCAAUUCUCGACCGACGCCCGGUCUUGCCCAGCUUCCACGAAAAACCCCAAGCUUCGGCCUCACCUUGGCUUUCAUCCCGCCGCACCCUUGCUUCCAGCAAUAGCCUGGCCGCAAUUUUCAACAGCCCCAACCGCUAUUCUUCUCGUGCCCAGUCAAUUUCCGUGCCUGAGUUAGGUGGAUUUCUACCACUCCUAAACAGUUAUCUAAUCAUUAAAUAUACACUACUAAAAGUAAUUUGGUUUUAUUAUUAUGAAUUAUUCAUUCUGGUUUUGAAGUGUUCAAGGAGAGAGAAAUCAUUGUCUUUUUAUCUAGCUUGACGGAACAUUUACCCCUGCAUUCUAGGUCCUUGGUUCGAUUCUGUAAAAAAAAAUAUAUAUGAAAAAUUGGGAAUAAGUUUAAGUUCGUACUUUAAUAAUUGAACAAGCAUGUGAAUUGUAAUGAAGAUUUAUUUAAAUAGAAUCUGGACCUUUAAGAUUGUUGGUUUUGUACACCAAAAAAUAUCCACCACCAAUAUAAUUGGAUGCCAAAGCCUUUCCAACUGAUGUUGGUUGAGAGAAUGCCAAUUGAGAGUGUUCAAGGACAAAUCCCAUGCAGAAACUUUUCCUAUGAGAGAGAGUGUAAGAAAAUAGCAAAAUGGUAAUCAAACAAAUAUCAACAAAAACAAGAAUUCAAUGUCAAUUGUCCAGCAAAAGGAACUCAUAUUUCUGUCUAAGAAACUUGGACAAGUUAUUGUGCUAAAAUCUACUUACAGUUAGCUGACAUGAUUUGGCUUGCAGGUUGGGAUCCAAACCACAACAAUACCAUAUCAUACAUUUGGUUUCCAUUUGAUGAGAAUAUAAAGAAACUCCCCACCAAAAGAAAAGCCAGAGGAAAUAAUACCAAGGAGUUCAAGUUACCUUAGGGCAUCCAGUAACUGGGUGGCUAUGUGUUUUCUUCUGUUAGCUUGAGUGACCCAAAUGGCUCGGAUGCCGCAGACAGCAGGCACUACUUCCUCUUCCCAAAAUAUAGCACCGUUGAGAUUCUCAUUCAAAGCUUCAGGAACAGAAGGGGCUUUUCUCAUGGUUUCCCUUUGAAAUUUGAUAUCCCCGAAUUGGAGAGUGGUUAGUUUUGCUUCAUUUGUAGUAGUACCUAUGGGAACCUAAUUAAAUCAAACCCUAGGUCAAAUAAUUCCUACCAUUUGGGGAUUAUUUGACCCAAUUGGGAAUUAAUCAACCUAAUUGGGAGUUACUCAAUUUAAUUGGGAAUUACUCAAUUAAAUUGAACGUUACCUAAUUAGGUUGAGAAUUGAUUUGGUUAAUUACCACGAUCCCCAAUUAAAUGAGGAGUUGCCUAAUUGAAUCAGGAUUUGAUUUGAUACCUACCACAAUUAGGGAUUUGAUUUACCCUAAUUAAUCAAAUCCCUAAUUAAUGAAAUCAAUUCCAAAAAGGGGAGGAAUAAUUCCCUUCCAUCUACGGAAUUAUUCCUCUGAAACCCUAGCCUCCGAGACUACUAUAAAAGCAUAGCCACACACAAGGGUUGAGGUACGUGAGAAUUACUACUAAAACUCUGCAGAAAAUUCCUCUCAAACCCUAGCCACCUCUUUUCUCUCUCUCUCUCUUUUACAUAAGGCUCCGGCCGCCCGAUUUAUAUUAUAAACACAUCCUGUACCCUAUUUUAGUUAUCGUUUCUCUACGGAUCGAUUGAACUGACUUAGGCAUCGGAGGGCCUUUGGCCAACACCCCCGGGUGUGGUCAUCUUAUUUGUUCUUUUUUGCAGGGAGAAAGAGGAGGCGAAGAAGAAAGGGGAAUCUUCCGAACUGAAUAUUCUCGUGGAGAAAUUUGCUCCCACAAAUUGGUGCUUUCAUUGAGAGCGCGAGUUAUACUCAACGCGUGCUCAAGGAAUCCGUUCCUCCUAUUUUCCAAUCCACCGAAGCCUUCCAAACAACCAUGGUUGGAAGCAUGAACACGAGAGGCAAAGCCGCCGCGAUGGCUAGAUCCGCGACGGCCCAAAGCCACUCCACCCACGAUCCAGCGAUCAACAUGGUGGCACCGCCACCUCUCACCACCAACUUCCCAUCAAGGUGGACUCAUUACCACUGUCGACCUAGGGCCGGUCUUGAAGCAACUCCAAGCAUUCCCUUCAUUGCCUCCACGCGUGACGCACGCUCCUGCAUACACCUCCAAUGAAAACCUAGCCCGUGUGCAGUUGGGCUCCACACACUUCUCUCCUCCCGAUCCACGAAGUCAAGCAGACCUAAAUCUAAGAGUUGACCAGCUAGCUCAGAGAAUGGACGACCAAAGCAAUCUAAUGAGGCAGCUCAUCAACCAAAUAGGCUUUGCUCAAAACCUUGGCCUUGGACAACCGGGUGAGGAGAGAAGGAUGGACGAACGCGCUGGCAGACGACUCGACGUCCGUGCCCGCUUGGGCCCGCAGGGAAAUGUACAUCAAAGGCUAGGCCCCCAAGGAGUUCAGCCAAACAACCAUCGCAACGAGGAUAGCAGAAAAGCGUUCUCGAAAGGCUAGGCUCCCAGGAAGGCCAGUUGGAUAACCCUCACAAUGAGGACCAUGAGGAAAGACGCUCCGUUACUCACUCUCGAAGAACCAAUUCUCGUCGACAAGCUACAAAGAAUCUUUCACAGGCGCAGUCCACCAACACUCCAACUAGGCAGCCCAGGCGAGAAGGUCGACCCUCGGAGGACAAUGAGGAAGUCAGUCAAUCUCGUGGAGGUCGCCAACGUAACCGACUAGCAAUGUGUGCAGAAGACGUUGAGAAGCUCGUGAAUGACCGACUUCGAGACUUGAAGACCGGAGGAAACUUCGAGGAUUCACUACGUAAGGAGAUGGACUAGGUGAACUCUACGCCUUUCACCCUCGAUAUCGAGCAGGCCGCUUACCCGAAGCGAUUCUCGACACCCUCACUCAUAAACUUCAAAGGAGAUUCCGAUCCCGAGAGCCACUUAAAACACUUCAAAAGUGUUAUGAUCCUCCAUCAUGCUGACGACGCGCUAAUGUGCAAGGUAUUCACGAUAACCUUGCGAGGAGCAGCCCAAGACUGGUUCCACACCCUACCAUCCAGGUCGAUCAGCAGCUUCAAGGAGUUAGCUUACGUCUUCACCAAAGAAUACACCUCUUACCGGACAAUCAAGAAGAACCCUGACCACCUAUACAACCUGUGCAAGAAGUCUGACGAGUCCCUUCGAGAUUACAUCAAGAGAUUCAAGGCAGAAAAGGUGAACAUUGUAGGAUGUGACGACCGAAUCGCGUCCUCCGCUUUCAAGAAAGGCUUUCCGGCUGAGCACGACUUGUACCGCGAGCUGACUAUCACUCCCAGCCAGACUCUGACAGAGGUCUACGCGACUACGGAACGCUACGCGCUCUGGGAUGACGAUUGAAUCGCCGCAAAAAAGUCUACAAAGCAGGAAGAUCAGCCAACUAAGCGGGCAAGCCAAAGAGGCGACGGAUUUAACAAUCGAAACAAGGACAAGCGCAGGUCGCACCCACAAGGGGAGACUGCGGCAGGAGAGAACUACACCAAGUUCACCAUCCCCAUACAUCAAAUCUUAGCCCAAGUGAAGAACAAACCUUGGGUAAGAAGACCACCACCCUUGAAAGGAGAUCCGGACAAGAGGGAUACUAACAAAUACUGUGCCUUCCAUGGAAGGCACGGACACUCUAUGAACAACUGCUUCGCUUGAAAAGCGCAUCUUGAAGAACUCGUGAGAGAAGGUCACUGCACAGAAUUCAUUGCGAAGCAGGCCAUCCAACGAAUUGAAGAUCGAGACACCGCUAAGGAGCCACCUCAGAAGGUCAUAAGGAUUAACACAAUCCUAGCCGACUCCGAGGAGUCUGGGCUGACCAGCAAGGAAAAGAAGAGGAAGAUCAAAUAGGCCACUGUGAUCUCCCAAGUCUCGACCGACCUUCCACUAACAGAGGACGAUCCUGUGAUCGGCUUCCAAAAGAAAGAUCUGAUCGGCCUUUACAUGCCACAUAACGACACCCUUGUCAUCAGCAUUCAAAUCGCUCAGGCCAUGGUCGACCGAAUCCAUGCAGACAAGGGCAGCAUAGCCAAUAUCUUACAACUGACGGUCAUCCAACAGAUGGGCUUGGAGACAAAGAUCAACAAAUUAGCCAGAUCGCUGACUGGCUUUAAUGGUGCAACAACGGUUACCGUGGGCACGAUAGACCUCGACGUCUACUCCUCACAUGUAAUCAGCUUGUAAACAUUCAUGGUCAUUAAUGAGGUCUCACCCUACAACGGCAUCCUGGGCAGACCAUGGAUUGGCAAGAUCAAUGCCAUCACCUCCGCCACACACCAGAAAAUUCGGUACCCAAUCCCUGGGGGUGGUGUCGGCCAAAUCAACAGCGAUCAAGCAAUGGCGAGGAAAUGCUCCGCCCAAGGGCUGAAGAAAGGCAAACAAGCGCAGUUUCUCCCUGUGAGCCAGGCAGAUCUGGAGGAGGUUGAGCAACCGAAUCUUGCUAUCUUAUAGCAAUCAAAGCGUCAGGACCAAGCCGAGGAAAUCCGUCCAGAGGUCUUUUCUCAAGAAGGAUGGAAACCCGAGGAGGACGUACAGUUAAUACUCUUGGAUCCUGACCAGUCAAACAGGAAAGCGCGGAUCGGCUCGCGCUUAAGCCCAGAAAAAAAGGUGGAGCUUACCACAUUCCUCCAGUGCAACAAAGACAUGUUCGCAUGGUCGCCAUCAGACAUGCCUGGCAUCGAACCGAACAUCAUCUGUCACCGACUCCAUGUCAACCCCGCAUGCAAGCCAGUGGCGCAGAAGAGACACAACUUCGCACCCGAGCGAGUCACUAUCAUCGAAGCCGAUAUUGACAAGCUCCUAGCUGCCGGCUUCAACGAAGAGGUCUUCUACUCAGAAUGGCUUGCCAACGUUGUUUUGGUGGCAAAACAAGAAAAGGGCAAAUGGAGAGUUUGCGUCGAUUACACAGACCUCAACAAGGCAUGCCCUAAAGACAACUUUUCAUUGUCGAGAAUCGACCAACUCGUGGAUUCCAUUUCCGGCAAUCAGCUGCUCAGUUUCAUGGACGCCUACUCCGGCUAUAACCAAAUCCUGAUGCACGAGGAUGACAAGGCGAAAACUUCUUUCAUCAUCGAGAGAGGGACCUACUGCUAUAAGGUCAUGCCCUUUGGGCUGAAGAACGCCGGAGCAACCUAUCAAAGGCUCGUAAAUAAAAUCUUCAAGGAGCAGAUCGGCAAAACUAUGGAGGUCUACGUGGAUGACAUGCUAGUCAAAGCCCCAAAACGUGCAGAUCACAUUGGAAACCUUGCUGAGUCAUUCAGCUUGCUCCGCCAGUAUCGCAUGAAGUUGAAUCCAAGUAAAUGCACGUUUGGUGUAUCCUCCGGCCGAUUCUUGGGAUACCUAGUCACACAACGAGGUAUCGAGGCACACCCAUGUCAAAUCAAAGCCAUUCUUGAGUUGAAAUCGCCCUCCACGGUGAAAGAAAUACAAAGUCUGGCAGGCAGAGCAGGGGCCCUCAACCGAUUCCUCUCCAGAUCAACUGACAAGUACAGACCAUUCUUCAAAGCUUUAAAGAAAAGGACAAAGAGACAAAUGGGAUGAGGAGUGCGAAGUGGCUUUCUAGAAUCUGAAGACUUACCUCACCUCACCUCCUCUGCUCUCAAAGCCAGUCCCUGGUGAGGACUUGUUUGUAUACCUGGCAGUGUCCAACUCAGCUAUUAGUUCAGCUCUCAUCCGAGAAGAGCUGGGGGCCCAACAUCCGGUAUUCUACACGUCAAAAGCUCUCCUCGAUGCAGAGACUCGCUACCCAAAAUUGGAGAAACUUAUUAUGGCUCUUGUAGUUUCUGCGAGAAAGUUGCGACCCUACUACCAAGCUCAUCGAGUCAUCGUCAUGACCGACUUUCCUUUGAGAUCAAUCCUCCACAGCCCUGAUGCUUCUCAGCGACUCAUGAAGUGGGCUAUAGAGCUAAGCCAAUAUGACCUCCUCUACCGGCCAAAAACUGCAAUAAAAGCCCAGGCUUUAGCAGACUUCGUCGCAGAAUUCACCUCAUCAGCCGAAAAAGAGAAGUUGGUCAACCAAAAAAAGGAAAGUUCAAAAGUAGACGGGACCUCCGCAGAACCUAGCCAACCCAGAGACAUGUGGCAGUUGCGCGUAAAUGGAGCGUCGAACCAAAAAGGAGCUGAAGCAGGGGUCGUCGUCAUCACCACCCCGGAUGAAGCCCUGUUGGAGCAAGCUAUUAUGCUUGGCUUCCCGGCCUCGAACAACGAGGCAGAAUACGAGGCAUUGCUCUCCGGCCUACGCUUGGCAAAAGAGCUCGCAAUCAAAAAGCUAGCUAUCUACUCAGACUCACAAUUGAUCACGAAUCAAGCCUCAGGUGAAUACAUGGCAAAGCACCCAAGGAUGAUCAUGUACCUUGAUAAAGUCCAAGAGCUGUUGAAGGAAUUUCCUACCUUCACCAUCCAACAAGUGCCCCGGGCAGAGAACGCUCAUGCAGACGCACUGGCAAGCCUAGGAUCAACGCUGGAUACCCAGUUCAGAUGCUCCAUCCCAGUUGAACACCUUGACCGACCAAGCAUUGAAGAAAUAGAGCUAAUCGAUACCAUGCAGAUUGAUGAGGACCUCAGUUGGCAAGACCCCAUCAUCGACUAUUUGACGAAUGGAAACUUGCCAACGGACAAGUCCGAAGCUAGAAAGGUCCAGCAGAAGGCCGCGAGAUACUACAUGCACGGCAACAAGCUCAUCCACAGAUCAUACUCCGACCCUCAUCUUACCUGCAUAAAGUACCCUCAAACACUUGAGGUUCUCUGCAAAAUUCACGACGGCGAGUGUGGCAACCACUCUGGGGGCAGGUCGCUCGCCCAGAAAGCUCUAAACAUAGGCUACUUCUGGCCUACCAUGCGUCAUGACUCCGCUGAAUAUGUCAAGAAGUGUGAUCGCUGUCAGCGAUACAAGCAGAUUCCUAACCUGCCUGCCGAAGUCUAUCAUCCGCAAAACAGUCCACGGCCGUUUAUGCAAUGGGCCAUCGACCUAGUGGGUCCCUUGCCACCAGCGCCCGACAAGAAAGAAAUGAUGAUCGUCGCCACCGACUACUUUACUAAAUGGAUCGAGGCCGAAGCUCUAUCCUCUACUAAAGAAGCCGAUGUGGAGCGAUUCAUCUAGAGAAACAUCAUAUGCCGAUUUGGCUGCCUGCAGUCGCUGGUUACCGACAAUGGCUCAUAGUUCAUUAGCAAGCAGAUCACCGCCUUUUUUGCGAAAUACAAGAUCAAGCAACACUUGUCCACCCUGAGGUAUCCACAAGAAAAUGGACAAGCCGAGGCAUCCAACAAAGUCAUAUUGGACUGCUUGAAGAAAAGGCUAGAAGGCGCCGAAGGAAAAUGGGUGGAUGAACUCCCCGGAGUACUAUAGGCUUAUCGCACCACCAAACGAAGAUCGACUGGUGAAACCCCAUUCUCCCUUGCCUAUGGAACAGAAGCGAUCAUACCACCUCACAUCACUGUCCCCUCCAUAAGUUUGGAAGUGGGCAAUGUUGAUCAGAACUCCGAGCAGAUGAGGCUCAACCUCGACUUACUUGAAGGCGAACGUGAGAAGGCCAUUAUCCGGGUCGCCUCUUAUCAGCAGCAGUUAAAGUCUUACCACGACAAAAGAGCUAAGGUCAGACAGUUUCAACCAGGCGACCUCAUGCUAAGAAAGGCUUUCAUUACUGCACCGAGGCAAGGGUCAAAAAAGAUGAAUCCUAACUGGGAGGGUCCUUACAUGAUCAGCCGGUCUGGGGGCAGAGGAAGCUACACACUCGACACUAUGGAGGGGAAGGAAAUACCACGAAAAUGGAAUGCUCACCAUCUUCGAAAGUAUUAUCCGUAGCGCCUCCUCCUGACUGCUAGAAGUUAUAAGUCUUUAUACCGAGUUAUUUCCAUUUUCGAAUAAAGGACUGUAAUCUUAUGAAUAUCAAUAUAAGUUCAGUUUCUCAUUUUGAAAUGUCUCAUCUGCCCACGAAACACAAUAUUUGCCCAUAAGCAGCGUCCUUCGGGAGACGCAGGGUACGCCAGGAAUUUCCUAAAGGAGAUAUCCAGGUUCCUAUCCGUUUCCUAAGGGAGGCAGGAUAGUCACACAGUUGCCCAUAAGGAGCGUCCUACGGGAGACGCAGGGUGACGACAAAACGCGUCCGUUUGGAGACGUAGCCCGCUAAAAAAGCGUCCUAAGGGAGACGCAGGGUGCGCCAGGAAUUUCUUAAAAGGAGGUCUCCAUGCUUCCUACGGGAAAUAUCCAGGUUCCUAUCCGUUUUCGAAGGGAGGCAGGAUAAUUAUGUAGUUGCCCAUAAGUAGCGUCCUACGGGAGGCGUAGGGCGACGACCAAGGCAUCCUACGGGAUGUGCAGAACACACCCGGAGUCUCUCAAGGGGGACCCUGGUGCUUGCCAACUUCCUAAGGAGAAUCAUCUUACGGGAUAUGCAGAACACACCCGGAGUCUCUCAAGGGGGACCCUGGUGCUUGUCAACUUCCUAAGGGGAAUCAUCCUACGGGAUGUGCAGAACACACCCGGAUGCUUGCCAACUUCCUAAGGGAAAUCAUCCUAUGGGAUGUGCAGGACACACCCGGAGUCUCUCAAGGGGGACCCUGGUGCUUGCCAACUUCCUAAGGGAAAUCAUCCUACGGGAUGUGCAGAACACACCCGGAGUCUCUCAAGGGGGACCCUGGUGCUUGCCAACUUCCUAAGGGAAAUCAUCCUACGGGAUGUGCAAGACACACUCGGAGUCUCUCAAGGGGGACCCUGGUGGUUGCCAACUUCCUAAGGAGAAUCAUCCUACGGGAUGUGCAGAACACACCCGGAGUCUCUCAAGAGGGACCCUGGUACUCGCCAACUUCCUAAGGGAAAUCAUCCUAGAGAUGUGCAGAACACACCCGGAGUCUCUCAAUGGGGAUCCUGGUGCUCGCCAACUUCCUAAGGGGAAUCAUCCUACGGGAUAUGCAGUGCAUGCUCGGAGUCCUUCAAGAGGGACCCUGGUACUCACAAAUCUCUAAAGGAAGACGUGCAAUCAAAACAUAGGCUGGUUACUCAAGCAGUUCACAAGUCAAAUAUGCAAGUUGAAGUUGGAAAAUGUAAUGGAAAUUUCCAUAACAAACAGACCAACCGGCCAAGUUUAACAAAAAGAAGAUGGUCAAAUAAGACCAGUUAUUCUAAACAAAAAGGCAAACUACAAAAGCUGAAAAGAAACAAAAAAGAGUCUUCGUCUAAUUGGAGACGCCAUCAGAAGGCCUUUAAGCUGCAGCCUCUUCGGCAUCCACCUGACUAGCUACGUCUUCAGCAACUCCAUCUGCCUAAACCAUGACAUCUGCCAUCAUCUCGUCUACUGUGUCCACCUCUGCUUCUUCCUCUCUGGUUACCUGCUCUUCAAUUCCCCCUUCCAUAGAGGGUGAGUCGGGGCAGAGCAUCUCGAUGUCUACAUCAUCAAUCGCAUAUAAGGAAUUAGUCCCAUUUGUGCAAUACAGGUAGCCCAACUUGUACGCAUCUAUGGUGGCUUCAGACUUGGAUUCUUUAGCAGACUUAUGAUAGGCAUGAAAUCUAGCCAGGAGUUUGUCAUAGCUGAGGUAGCCCAACUUGUAUGCAUCUAUGGUGGCUUCAGACUUGGAUUCUUUAGCAGACUUAUGCAGGCAUGAAAUUUAGCAGAUUCAAGACGAAAGAAGGCAUCUUUUCAACUAGCCAAAUCAGCAGCAGAAGAGUUGAGCUCUGAAUCCUUCUCGGUAAGGGAGCUUUUCAGCCCAGAUAUCAUCGCCCUCAAAUCAGACGUCUUCUUCUCGUAGCUGGCCUGCUCGGCGAAAAGCUGGCUGGCCAAUUUAGCAUUCUUCUUCUCCAACUCGCUGAGCUGGGCAGAAGAGGGGGCAACAGCAAAUGAGUUCCGAAUAGUCUCAGUAGCAAAAAUCAGUCCUUUUUGAAUCAGAUAGAAAGUGUCAAGAUCGCCAGCUUGACAGAUGUGAUCAACCAACUCAGCACAGGACGACGGAUUUGAUAGGAAGUUCGUCUUGAGCAGAUCAGAUACACAUGCAUCCCCUACAGAGCUAGGCUUGUUCACCUUAGGACCAACUACCGACGUGGAGGAAGAACCCUUAACCCGGGUAGAUGACUCUCUCAUCUUCUUAGCCUCUGCCAGCUUCAUCUCCAAAGGAGUCAAUAAUGCUGGAUCAUGAGCAGACCUCCCGUUUCGAUCUCCAUCUUUUAACCGAUGUAGACGACUCGAACUUCUAGGAGGAAUGUCUGCAUCUCUUUGACGCUCGGCAGAACUAGGUCAGGCACGAGCCGUUUCACGAAACAUAUCAUGGUUUUCGAGCUUGUCAGCAGGAGGCUCGGGCAGAACACCCCGAAUACCGCGCAUACCACCAACCUUCGUGCUAUCUGCACCCACGAGAUGCUUGACCCUGGUAGAUGAUGAGGGAGCAGACCCCACUUGAGUCUUCUCAGCAGAAGGAAGCCUUAGUUUCUUCCUCGAUGGAGACCCAUCCUUUGCGUGCGAAGAAGUAGCUUCACCUCUUGAAGAUUUGGCGGCAACUUUUCUCUUUGAGAGAGAUUCAGCAGAACAUUCUUCCUGUCCGCCAAGCAGAUCAUCAGGGUCAGGACCGUUCUGCUUCCAUAUUUCGACAUCCUUGGCAGGGGGCAAACCACCGUCUUCCUCCCGGUACUCACUCAACAGCCAGUGCCACUCGCGAAACCUUAGAGGGAUGUUCAAAGCACGACGGACCUUAGCCAUGUCCGGCCCAAGCUCCAAUUACUUGUUGAUGUCACUCACUGCAAGCAGAAGACAUAAGUUAGUCAGCCACACUUCAAGAAAUUCAAAUAAAAGGAGUGCAUCAAAAAUUGCAAAGAGACAUACCAUCGCAAUAGGUGAUGGGAACAAGUGGGCCGUCACCGACAUCGCCUUCCCACCGUCCGCUGACCUCCAACACGUCGUCAUGCCAAGCGUGAUCCCCUUGACUAAGACUAUUGAACAACUUGGCCUUGUAGACACGAACUUGGGCAUACUGCUCGAAGUGCCUCAGUUCGAAAAAAUAAAAGAACUCUCGCACCGUCAGCUCCAACAUGAAGAAACGACUCAAAUUCUCGUAGCACAUGAUCGCCCGGUAAGCGUUUGGAGUACACUGGCUCGGAGCACACCCCAUGGCGUAGAACACCUCCUUGAAAAGCUUUGACAGCGGGAAUUUGAAGCCCAAGGAGAAGUAAAAAGGACGGAAGGUGAUGAUCCUAGCAUCAAGAUCAUUCGUAUCCACCAAAGGCUCGUUGUCCUUCCGAGACUUCAAUAGCUUGACUGGCACAUCAUCUGGAAUGGCAGACGCAUAAGCAGCCCGCCACUUCUGGAACUGAGCAUCAGUCGUGACGCGAUGCAAGUUAGCCACGAACUUCUUGCUGUGCACUAUGGAGCUUCCCCAUAAAUACAAAGGGACCUGAGAGCUUGGAGCCUUGCUACCAUCUCCGGAGGACAUGGGUGAUCAACUAGUAGCUGCAAAAGGGAAAAAUCUCUACAAGUUAGAAUGCAAAAAAAAAAAAAAACAAAAAAACAAAAAAAAAAGGCAGCCUAGUCCAACUCGCGCCUCCAGCCCAGCACGAAGGCCCACAUAGCGCAGACCAGCUCCAGCGCGCGCCAUGGCCCAGUUCGAUCGAAGCCCAGCUCGCUCCCAGCACAUGGCCUAGCUCGCACAUGCAGCCCAGCGCCUCCAGCCCAGCAGGUCUCCAGGCCACUGCUCCGAAGCCCAGCGCCUUGGGCUUGGUUCUUCCGCGCGCAUCCCACACCUCGCGCCAGACCCAGCGUCUCCUUGCCUCAGUUGCAGCCUGCUGGCUUCAGCAAAAGCCCACUUAACCCACAAAGGCCUGACGCCUUGUGGCAUUCUCCUUGAGCCCAGCGCAGGUGAACACAAACCUGCCAGCCUCUCCAUGCUUCAGCCUACAGCAACAGCUUGCAAUUCAUGCUCCAGCACGAAUUCUCCAACUAGUGUCCACAGACCCACGAACAUGCACCCAUGCUGGACUGCCUCCAAGCUGCCAAAAAUCGGAACAAAGACACACACAAAAAAUAUAUACAACCCAAGUCUAAUUACCUUAGGUGUGCGGUGGAGACAAGAACUCAAGAACAACGGGAAAAAAUUCUCCAAAGCUUACUUUCUCUCACUAAUGAAAUCGGAAUGGAUUUUGGAUGUGAAGAAUAAAUUGGAGGAGCCCUACAUUUAUAAGGAUAAAAAUUCCUUGACCUACAAGGAAUCGCAAACUCUUUCCAACUUGGGAGUUCAUGAAAUUGGCAAGUUAAACACCUCCUCAACUCGGGAGCCCGAGUCCACGAAGGAAGCCCAGUUACAGCUGGACAGCCCAACA